AGCAGCCGCGGUAAUUCCAGCUCCAAUAGCGUAUAUUAAAGUUGUUGCAGUUAAAAAGCUCGUAGUUGAAUUUCGGGACUAAUAUGUCGGUCGUACUUUGUACGUACUAGCAUUAUUGGUUUCUCCCUUCUGACGAACCACGAUAUCAUUAAUUUGGUGUCGCGGGAAAUCAGGACUGUUACUUUGAAAAAUUAGAGUGUUUAAAGCAAGCUCGCGCUUGAAUACAUUAGCAUGGAAUAAUGAAAUAGGACGUUUGAUUCUAUUUUGUUGGUUUCUAGGAUCGACGUAAUGAUUAAUAGGGAUAGUUGGGGGCAUUAGUAUUCAAUUGUCAGAGGUGAAAUUCUUGGAUUUAUUGAAGACUAACUACUGCGAAGGCAUUUGCCAAGGAUGUUUUCAUUAAUCAAGAACGAAAGUUGGGGGAUCGAAGACGAUCAGAUACCGUCGUAGUCUUAACCAUAAACUAUGCCG
rnacentral:misc_RNA from 1 species